AUACUUACCUGGUCAGGGAGAUACCAUGAUCACAAAGGUGGAUUUCCCAGGAAAAGCUCAUCCAUUCCACUCUGAAUUUGCUGACACCUGAGAUUUCCCCAAAUGUGGAAGACUCAACUGCAUAAUUUGUGGUAGAGCGAAACUGUGUUUAUGAUAUUCCCUG